AUGAGGGUACUCGACUUCGAAGUGGGGGCGGGAGAUAAUACUGCGGAUAAAAGGUACAACUCACCCCAGGAUACUUCAAUGGCACUAGACAGGACACUUGGUAAGGAGCAAGAAAGGGAGCCUUCUCAGAAUGUUCAAAAGGAUGAAGCUGGAGAUAGAAAGGGAGAUGUAAGGGCUGAGUUAGAUGUCUUAGAAAAAGAGAAAGCUAUGAAAGGAAAGGAGAAGCUCGAAGAAAAGAAGAACUUAGAUGAGAUGAAGGUGGUUGUUAACCCCUCGCCCAAACAGACAAGAAUGAGAACUACCUUCAAGCGUCGGGAGAGAACCAAGUCAGUCCAAUAG
rnacentral:rRNA from 1 species